GACGAACGCUGGCGGCGUGCUUAACACAUGCAAGUCGAACGGUGAAGCGCUUUCCUUUUUGGUUGGUGUGGAUGAGUGGCGAACGGGUGAGUAACACGUGAGUAACCUGCCCCCUUCUUCUGGAUAACCGCAUGAAAGUGUGGCUAAUACGGGAUAUUCUGCGCCUGCUGCAUGGUGGGUGUGUGAAAGAUUGUGCCUUUGGGUGUUUUCGGUGGGGGAUGGGCUCGCGGCCUAUCAGCUUGUUGGUGGGGUGAUGGCCUACCAAGGCGGUGACGGGUAGCCGGCCUGGGAGGGUGGACGGUCACACUGGGACUGAGACACGGCCCAGACUCCUACGGGAGGCAGCAGUGGGGAAUAUUGCACAAUGGGCGCAAGCCUGAUGCAGCGACGCCGCGUGAGGGAUGGAGGCCUUCGGGUUGUGAACCUCUUUCGCCAGUGAAGCAGGCCUGCUCCUUGUGGGUGGGUUGACGGUAGCUGGAUAAGAAGCGCCGGCUAACUACGUG
rnacentral:rRNA from 1 species